rnacentral:rRNA from 1 species
CCUACGGGUGGCAGCAGUGAGGAAUAUUGGUCAAUGGCCGAGAGGCUGAACCAGCCAAGUCGCGUGAGGGAAGACGGCCCUACGGGUUGUAAACCUCUUUUGUCGGGGAGCAAAGCGAGUCACGUGUGACUCAUUGAGAGUACCCGAAGAAAAAGCAUCGGCUAACUACGUGCCAGCAGCCGCGGUAAUACGUAGGGGGCAAGCGUUAUCCGGAUUUACUGGGUGUAAAGGGAGCGUAGACGGCUAAUCAAGUCAGAAGUGAAAACCCAGGGCUCAACUUUGGGACUGCUUUUGAAACUGAGUAGCUAGAGUGCAGGAGAGGUAAGCGGAAUUCCUAGUGUAGCGGUGAAAUGCGUAGAUAUUAGGAGGAACACCAGUGGCGAAGGCGGCUUACUGGACUGUAACUGACGUUGAGGCUCGAAAGCGUGGGGAGCAAACAGGAUUAGAUACCCGAGUAGUC